rnacentral:rRNA from 1 species
GAGGGAUGCUGGAGGUAUCAGAAGUGCGAAUGCUGACAUAAGUAACGAUAAAGCGGGUGAAAAGCCCGCUCGCCGGAAGACCAAGGGUUCCUGUCCAACGUUAAUCGGGGCAGGGUGAGUCGACCCCUAAGGCGAGGCCGAAAGGCGUAGUCGAUGGGAAACGGGUUAAUAUUCCCGUACUUGGUGUUACUGCGAAGGGGGGACGGAGAAGGCUAUGUUGGCCGGGCGACGGUUGUCCCGGUUUAAGCGUGUAGGUGUGUGUUCCAGGUAAAUCCGGUUCACUUUAACACUGAGGCGUGACGACGAGGCACUACGGUGCUGAAGCAACAAAUGCCCUGCUUCCAGGAAAAGCCUCUAAGCAUCAGGUAACACGAAAUCGUACCCCAAACCGACACAGGUGGUCAGGUAGAGAAUACCAAGGCGCUUGAGAGAACUCGGGUGAAGGAACUAGGCAAAAUGGUGCCGUAACUUCGGGAGAAGGCACGCUGACACGUAGGUGAAGUGAUUUACUCAUGGAGCUGAAGUCAGUCGAAGAUACCAGCUGGCUGCAACUGUUUAUUAAAAACACAGCACUGUGCAAACACGAAAGUGGACGUAUACGGUGUGACGCCUGCCCGGUGCCGGAAGGUUAAUUGAUGGGGUCAGCGUAAGCGAAGCUCCUGAUCGAAGCCCCGGUAAACGGCGGCCGUAACUAUAACGGUCCUAAGGUAGCGAAAUUCCUUGUCGGGUAAGUUCCGACCUGCACGAAUGGCGUAAUGAUGGCCAGGCUGUCUCCACCCGAGACUCAGUGAAAUUGAACUCGCUGUGAAGAUGCAGUGUACCCGCGGCAAGACGGAAAGACCCCGUGAACCUUUACUAUAGCUUGACACUGAACAUUGAGCCUUGAUGUGUAGGAUAGGUGGGAGGCUUUGAAGUGUGGACGCCAGUCUGCAUGGAGCCGACCUUGAAAUACCACCCUUUAAUGUUUGAUGUUCUAACGUGGACCCGUAAUCCGGGUUGCGGACAGUGUCUGGUGGGUAGUUUGACUGGGGCGGUCUCCUCCUAAAGAGUAACGGAGGAGCACGAAGGUUGGCUAAUCCUGGUCGGACAUCAGGAGGUUAGUGCAAUGGCAUAAGCCAGCUUGACUGCGAGCGUGACGGCGCGAGCAGGUGCGAAAGCAGGUCAUAGUGAUCCGGUGGUUCUGAAUGGAAGGGCCAUCGCUCAACGGAUAAAAGGUACUCCGGGGAUAACAGGCUGAUACCGCCCAAGAGUUCAUAUCGACGGCGGUGUUUGGCACCUCGAUGUCGGCUCAUCACAUCCUGGGGCUGAAGUAGGUCCCAAGGGUAUGGCUGUUCGCCAUUUAAAGUGGUACGCGAGCUGGGUUUAGAACGUCGUGAGACAGUUCGGUCCCUAUCUGCCGUGGGCGCUGGAGAACUGAGGGGGGCUGCUCCUAGUACGAGAGGACCGGAGUGGACGCAUCACUGGUGUUCGGGUUGUCAUGCCAAUGGCACUGCCCGGUAGCUAAAUGCGGAAGAGAUAAGUGCUGAAAGCAUCUAAGCACGAAACUUGCCCCGAGAUGAGUUCUCCCUGAGACUUAGAGUCUCCUGAAGGAACGUUGAAGACGACGACGUUGAUAGGCCGGGUGUGUAAGCGCAGCGAUGCGUUGAGCUAACCGGUACUAAUGAACCGUGAGGCUUAACCUUACAACGCCGAAG